CUCGGGGAUAGCCUUUCGAAAGAAAGAUUAAUACCCGAUGGCAUAGUUCUUCCGCAUGGUGGAACUAUUAAAGAAUUUCGGUCAUCGAUGGGGAUGCGUUCCAUUAGGUUGUUGGCGGGGUAACGGCCCACCAAGCCUUCGAUGGAUAGGGGUUCUGAGAGGAAGGUCCCCCACAUUGGAACUGAGACACGGUCCAAACUCCUACGGGAGGCAGCAUG
rnacentral:rRNA from 1 species